AAGUAGGAGCAUCAGCCAUUACUUCUGAUCUGUUAAUGGUCAAAAUUUUGUGUUUGCUAUAGUAGUUUUAUGUCUCCAUUCUUGUGUCUUUUUUCAUCAGGCUUUGGGUGUUAGCCUGAUUUUUAAAGCUUGAGCUUUUUGAAUGCCAUAUUAUUUCAGUUUGAACAGAACAUUCUCCAUUUUACAUUAAUCUGUGGAGUACUGUAGAAAGGAAAUAAAACUAUUCUGAGCAGCUUAGUCUAAGAUAAAAUUAGGAGUCAUUGUGGGGAUUGUUUUUGAUAGGGAGAGGAGACCUUAUAAAAAGCCUAAUUGUGAAAGAAUCAGUUCCUAAAGGUGUUAAAAUUUUCUAAAAUAAAUGCUUAAUUAUACAUACAAGAAUUGAAUAGUGUGGAAAAAGUUUGGUUUAUAGUUACCUUUGCACUGUUACAUAAUCAAAUUUUCUGAGCCUGGAUUAUAUGAACAGACAGAAACAUUGUUUUCUUUACAGUAUGCUGUUUGGGUUGUUUUUGAGUGGUUAAAAUUUUAAAACAACAAAUGUUAAAUCUGCUCCGGCGCCUAGACAAAUUGCAAAGGUUAAUGUUUCUGGGAAAUAAUAAGCCUCGGGGAACAUACAGGCAAAUCACUGUUGUAAUUAGAUUGAUGAAAUAUGGCUGAAAUUAACAACACUUGAGCUUUUUAGCUCUGCCCAAAGCAGCAAACUUGUAAGCAAAUGUGCAAUAAAAAAUAAUCUUGAUCCAUUUCACUGUGGAUGUGUGUUUGAUAUCUUGUACUCUACUGACAUCUAUUAUAGGAGGAAUUACCAGUGAUUCUUCCUAAUAUCAUGUAUUGUAGCCACUAAUUGAAAGGGCAGUUUUCCUGAAAUGCAUCUGUGAAAAGUUUUAUAUUAUAUACUUUUGAGUAAAUUG
rnacentral:lncRNA from 1 species